rnacentral:tRNA from 1 species
GGGGUUGUGGCUCAGUGGUAGAGUGCUUACCUAGCAUGCAUGAGGUACUGGGUUCAAUCCCUAGCACCACA